UGGCAGGAAGAGAUAGAAAAAUAUAAUGAGGUAGUCGCUUUACUGAGAGCACAGCUGGGCAUAUUUGGAACAGGAGGGAGUCUCCACGUCAUCGUGGGGUGGUUGGGAAAGGAGCUUAGAAGACUUUGGGAACUGGCAACAAACAUGUAAACCGUCAAGGACGUUGAGAAGAGCGUCUUCAGUGGAAUGAAGGGGAUGGAAGCCGUGUCGUACCUACCUCGUUGUUAGUCCUCACAGCAACCAUGACUCCUGAGCCUGCGUUCUCUGUACCGUGUGAGGCUGCCUCUUAGAAAAGUAACGAAGUGCUGGAGAGGGCUCUGCGGGUCCCCUCUGAGUGCCCGGGGCGCCGGCU